AACGAACGCUGGCGGCGUGCUUAACACAUGCAAGUCGAACGAGAACAGAACCUUCGGGUUCUUAGUAAAGUGGCGCACGGGUGAGUAACACGCGGAUAACCCUACCCCAAUGUGGGGAUAACAAUUCGAAAGAGUUGCUAAUACCGCAUACGCUCGCAGUGACCUUGGUCAUUGCGAGGAAAGUGGCGCAAGUCACGCAGUGGGAUGGGUCCGCGGGCCAUUAGCUAGUUGGUGGGGUAAAGGCCUACCAAGGCGACGAUGGCUAGCUGGUCUGAGAGGAUGAUCAGCCACACUGGGACUGAGACACGGCCCAG
rnacentral:rRNA from 1 species